GAUGGGAGGUAUUUGUGUGUUAAUGGACACUUUAAGUUUGAUUAUUCCACACCGUGCCCUUCCUACAAAGACUUGUGCAAUAAUUGCCCUUUUCGGCUUUGUGCAAACACACUCCUGUGUCUUGGACAGAGGAAGACUUCCUUCCUAGAGGAAACACAGGAACCGUGAAGAAGGCGAAGACUAAUGGUGGAGAAUCAGACUGAGGAGGCGGCGCUCACCAAACAUGCCAGUCUGUCCAGCAGAGAACCGUUGGCCAUGAAGGCGUACACCAAACACGGGUACUGCCCAUCACAGGAGUAUCCCACCAUGUCCACCAGGUUCUCAUGUUUCAACCUGAUGAAAUACAAGUAAGAUUAAUGUCAGAAUAAUUGUAUCUUUGUGUUUCAAUGAGUUCCCGGCGAGCAGACAAGAGCUGUCUUUAAUCCUACCAAGAAGAAGGCUUGUAAAACUCCACUGUGUAGGACGGGAAGCAACAUGAAGGUGUUCUGUUUCUUUCAUGUAUUUUUAAUCAACUGAAAGAUUUUGUCUUGACACAAGAAUUACAAAGCAAAGAGGAAGCAGGACCAGACUCCCCUCAAGGCGACCUCUUUGAACUCUUUUACGACCUUUUCUGUGAACUGUUUACGACCUUUUUUUUAACUGUUUUGUAACCAAAGGCGAUGGUUGUUUACGACCCCCUCCCUUAGAAACAGCUGUUGCCAUGUAUUCGGGGAAAGUCCAAAUAAAUGAGGUGGCUUACAA